UGCAGUCGAGCGAUCGAUGGGAGCUUGCUCCCUGAGAUUAGCGGCGGACGGGUGAGUAACACGUGGGCAACCUGCCUAUAAGACUGGGAUAACUUCGGGAAACCGGAGCUAAUACCGGAUACGUUCUUUUCUCGCAUGAGAGAAGAUGGAAAGACGGUUUACGCUGUCACUUAUAGAUGGGCCCGCGGCGCAUUAGCUAGUUGGUGAGGUAAUGGCUCACCAAGGCGACGAUGCGUAGCCGACCUGAGAGGGUGAUCGGCCACACUGGGACUGAGACACGGCCCAGACUCCUACGGGAGGCAGCAGUAGGGAAUCUUCCGCAAUGGACGAAAGUCUGACGGAGCAACGCCGCGUGAACGAAGAAGGCCUUCGGGUCGUAAAGUUCUGUUGUUAGGGAAGAACAAGUACCAGAGUAACUGCUGGUACCUUGACGGUACCUAACCAGAAAGCCACGGCUAACUACGUGCCAGCAGCCGCGGUAAUACGUAGGUGGCAAGCGUUGUCCGGAAUUAUUGGGCGUAAAGCGCGCGCAGGUGGUUCCUUAAGUCUGAUGUGAAAGCCCACGGCUCAACCGUGGAGGGUCAUUGGAAACUGGGGAACUUGAGUGCAGAAGAGGAAAGUGGAAUUCCAAGUGUAGCGGU
rnacentral:rRNA from 2 species